rnacentral:tRNA from 1 species
GAGGGUAUAGCUCAGUGGUAGAGUGCGUGCUAGGCAUGUAUGAGGUCCUGGGUUCAAUCCCCAGUACAUCCA